rnacentral:lncRNA from 1 species
ACACAUUUAAAGUCUGUUGGAUUGAGGCACUGGAAAUUGAAAGUAAAUGUACCCUGCAUGUUAGCUGCAAGCCACUCUCUACUGAUGUGACAAUCUUCUACUCUAGCCUUACAUACUUUAAGAAAAAAGAUGACUAGAACUGGGACCAAGAUGCCUCUGUCCCCAAAGAAGAAUUAAAGUGAUAUGCACACAUUCAAGUUUGCAAGGACUCUUUGACCCUGGAAUCUAGAACCCUGUAGGUAAGCUACAGCAGACAACUGAGUGGACCGCUGAGAAAGAUUUCAGUGAACUAUGUAUAUUUAUGCAAAUGUAUGUCUCGGGCAAUAAAUGAUUUAGCCCAUACUCCAUGCUGGUUAUGUGAAAUGUUGAGUUCGAGUUGUAGGAAGGACCUUUGAAAGCUUCUCUCUACCCCAAUUAUCUUAUUAACUUUGCCUCAGUUCCCAAUUCCUAAGCACCAUGAUACCUAUCCUCCUUUAUUCUUUCUUCUCACUAUGUAUUUUCCAGGAUUGAGACUAUGUUAUGUGUAAUUCUCAAGUUUCAACCCUUUCUUAACUGAGGUAUGUAUGUUUCAUGGCAUUUUGCCUGGCCAAGUAUUUAGCUCAUGCUUAAUCCAUUGACUUGACAUAUCCUUGCUCAACCGAAGGUAUAGACAGAGAUUUCUACUACUAGCCCUCUCUUUCCCUACAGGAACAGUUCCUCUGUACAUCCCCUUGGAUAAAAUGAUCAAAAUAUGAGAAGGAGAGACAAAGUGAGGUACCACGAGCAAACCACAUUAAUAAGGAGAGAAUAUUUGACUGAGCUGAUUUUGCUCCAUAUGCUUUUGGGUGUUUUUUAUGAAUUUUCCUAAUUCUCCAGUGCGUCGCUACAGCAGUCUAUGUGAAUGACGUUGAUGUCUUAGGGGGAAAUACUUCCCAUUGAGAUACCUUUGAUUUACACAUAACCGAAGUAAGCAGA